rnacentral:rRNA from 1 species
AGCGGAGGAAAAGAAACUAACAAGGAUUCCCCUAGUAACGGCGAGUGAAGCGGGAAGAGCUCAAAUUUGAAAGCUGGCACCUUCGGUGUCCGCGUUGUAAUCUCGAGAAGUGUUUUCCGUGCUGGACCAUGUACAAGUUCCUUGGAAUAGGACGUCAUAGAGGGUGAAAAUCCCGUACUUGACAUGGACGCCCAGUGCUUUGUGAUACACUCUCCACGAGUCGAGUUGUUUGGGAAUGCAGCUCAAAAUGGGUGGUAAAUUCCAUCUAAAGCUAAAUAUUGGGGAGAGACCGAUAGCGAACAAGUACCGUGAGGGAAAGAUGAAAAGCACUUUGGAAAGAGAGUUAAACAGUACGUGAAAUUGUCGAAAGGGAAGCGCUUGAAGUUAGACAUGCUUGCCGGGAUUCAGCCUUGCUUUUGCUUGGUGCAUUUCCCGGUGUGCAGGCCAGCAUCAGUUUUGUUUGCCGGAUAAGGGUGAGAGGAAUGUGGCCCCUCGGGGUGUUAUAGCCUCUCACUGGAUACGGCGGAUGGGACUGAGGACCGCAGUGUGCCUUUAUGGCGGGCCUUCGGGCACCUUCACACUUAGGAUGCUGGCGUAAUGGCUUUAAGCGACCCGUCUUGACCCCCGGAA